UACGAAGGGGGCUAGCGUUGUUCGGAAUUACUGGGCGUAAAGCGCACGUAGGCGGACAUUUAAGUCCGGGGUGAAAUCCCAGAGCUCAACUCUGGAACUGCCUUUGAUACUGGGUGUCUUGAGUAUGGAAGAGGUGAGUGGAAUUCCGAGUGUAGAGGUGAAAUUCGUAGAUAUUCGGAGGAACACCAGUGGCGAAGGCGGCUCACUGGUCCAUUACUGACGCUGAGGUGCGAAAGCGUGGGGAGCAAACAGG
rnacentral:rRNA from 1 species